GUGCCUCCGUUGCCAUUGGGCUUCUCCUCUCCGCGCACAGAGCAUCGCCAGCCAUGCAACUGUCAAUCUCAAUGGUCAUGCAGGAAGGGGACGCGGGGGCUCCACAGCAGGAGCAGCCCUACUGAAUCCCGACGGUGAAAGCUGCAGAGCUCCGCGUUCCACAACCCAGGAGUGUUCCUCGGUUUUAAGUCAGCCGGCAGAAUUACACAAAAGCGGAAGUUUUCCCAGCUCCCUCCCACGCCCUGUAUGUUCCCUCCACUCUUGACUCCAGCACUUUCUCACGUCCCAGUUCUCCCAGGUUUAUUUAUUAUUUUAUUUUUUGCCGCCUCUUUCCCUUGUUUUAGGAAGGGGCGAGAGAGAGAAAGAGAGAGACUACAACCAAAGGAAGGGGAAGGGAAGCCUAGAGCUACCCUGAGUUUGUAAUCAGGAUAACUGGAAUGUUAAAGGAAAAGCGAAGUAGAUGGGGAUCUGUCCAAUAAUAGCAUCAAGGUACAUGUGGGUGUUAAAACACUGGGUGCUAUGUUAGUUAAAAAGUAAGUCUUACUGAGUUAAACAGGGUUUUUAGACUGCACAGAUUUGCAGCCUAAAAGGUGGCAAUAGGUGGCCCAUCUGCAGAAAGAGAAAAGCAAAAACAACCAUAUCACUGGAAGGAAGUGGCCCUAACUUGCUGAAAUAAGUUGAGUUCCUUUGCAUGCCCUAAUGUGGUCCAUUAAGAAACCUUUUCUGAAAGGAAAAGAUAGUGCUAUAGAAACAGGCUCUGUCUGUUAAACCUGCCACCUAUGGCUUGAGCCAUUUUUUCUAUAGCCUUACUACAGCUCUGUUUACAAAGGCUGCAGUCCUAACCGUACCUCUAGGGUGCUUCAUUUUCCAAGACUGUCAAGGCCUUACUAUUCAGUUUGGGAGUAACACAAAUGAUAUCAGCUCAAUUUAAGCAGUUAUAGGGCUCAAUGCAGUUGACUUACAGCUGCUAACGUCUGUGACUUUUGCAAAAACUAUUGGUAGGGUGAAUAUAUGUAUAUAAAUCUAUUUUUUUUAAUUAAAAAAAACCACACCUGAUGGUGGGGUCAGCAUGAGAAGCGCAGUUACAAAUGGACUUCUCUACCAUCACAUUGCAGCCUGGGAAACUGGAAGAUCUUACUUGCUAGAUAGGUAGGAGUAGAUUCAGACGAAAUGUUGAGAUGGUAACUGAUACAACAAAGUCACUAUGGAGUGAAAUGUUUUGAGAGUGGUGGCUAGAGGGUUUACACCAUUCCCUAGAGCAUUAACAGAACCUGGGUCAACAUGGAGGCAGGUUAAUGAUGAUUAGCCAGCAGAACUGUGACACACAAAAAUAUCAAAGAGCAACUGGUCACCAUGCCCAAAGUCGCUAGGUUUAGGAUGACCUUAAUGAUUCAUCUGUUGUUACAGCAAAUCAAAAGAAGAGCAAUUAUUUGAAGAAAAGAAAGAGUUGUUGGACUCCAAACUGCCUGGGAGCAGUACCCUGUUAUUGAGAAGCUUUUACUCUUCCUUUGACCCACAAAAAUCCCAGAGCCUGAGCCUGGCCAUAAUUAUUCCAUGAUGUGAGAAAGCAACACAGAUAUUUUUUCAGCCAACAUAGAAAAACAAUCAUAGGCAAUAUAUAUUUUAUGAAAUACAGUGUCAGAAGUUUUUUGCGUUCUCAUGCUUAUAUUGUCCUAGCUUCAUUAACCCAGAUAGAGGUUAGGUUCUCCUCUGACUGGGUACAGUGAUGCAGAAGGACUAUAGAACAAGGGUAGAGUGGCAGUGAAAUUGAGUGAUUUCAGUGCAAAUUCAUUAGAAUCCCAAUUAAUCCUUUCUGGGCUCCUGAACAAAUCCUGUCAGCCAGGCUAUAGCACACAAGUGCAAUGAAGAUGAUUAGCUUAUUAGAAUGGAGUAACAUUUACAGAUUGAUCGUAUCAUACAAAAAGAUGCUCCUCUGUUGCUCCUCCGCAUAAGUUUGUUUAUAAAAUGGUGUUUCUAAACGCUAUAUAAGUUGCUGAACCAGUAUAAUAUUCAUACAUAUUGUUAGAAUAGUCUAUAGCAAACGCAAAAAAAGGUUUCGAAAUGGACAAUAUUCUUACCAAUAUCUACACAUUUCGGAGAUCUAUACAGUGGUCUGUGAACAUGGAAAAAGCUUUCUGCUAUGUCCCAGCUUCAAUCCAUGCACAUUGUUUAGCACAAGAUGCUGCUGCACUUUCAUCUAUGUGCAAAAUGCUAAAUGUUUGCAAGAGAACGCAGCUAAGAACUACUGAGAUAAUUUGGAUAAAUGUAAUGCUUUCUUUUAUGCCUGCAGCUCACUGAAGUGCAUCAAGAUGUGUAUUCAUUACUAGUGUUAUAUUCAUUACUAGGACUUCCACUCAGUGAUUGCAUUUAGACUUCUAUAAAUUAAAUCUGUGUAUAUUGUUAUGCUCUCUCUGCUUGUCUGAGCUGUGACAAGCUCCAGAGGUUUGUGUUUGCCUUUCAAAUGAAGGAUUACUGGAGGUUUAUUGCAUUUUGUAAUAUUUGCAUUUAUUUACAAAUACACAGGUUGAACACAGGUGAACUUAAAAUAUUCCAACUGACAGCCAAAGUCCACUGCUGCCACAUUGGAUCUCCAGAAAGAGGUAGCUGGCACCCCCAAAACACUGUUAUGUAAAAUGAAAUUUGUUUGUUGCCACCUAGAUUAGGAGUGCAUAACUGGAUCUGGCUGGUGAGCUAGAACCUUCCUACCCUUGUGGGACCACCUAUCUGUCAAUCACCUGACAUUAUUAUGAUGUCAGGUAACAAGUUUAAAGGGGCUGGCUCUGUGCACCAAUCAGCUGAUUAGUGAGCAGAGAUAUCCCUUCUGAAGUCCACUCAUAAGCACUUUGUAUUGAAACCACCCCAUCCCAAUGGGUAACUUCUUAAUGCAAUCAAGCCCAGUGGGGCUUCCCGUCAAUGGCAGUUGAGAAGCAUACCUUCUGAAACAUACAGCUGAUGGAAGUUCCAAGCCACCUCCUUUUGCUGUCCAGCAAACUAUUUAUUCAGUCCCUCAAAAAUGUCAAGACUUUCUUUACAAACUCUUCCUCUAACAUUACUGGCAUACUGUCUAGUUUUGCUUGCCUUGUGUUUUUCUUCAUUGACUCACCAAAUAAAGCAGCCUUUCCCUUUUU
rnacentral:lncRNA from 1 species